GGGUUUUUCUCUUUCUAAAACCCUUCCGAUUCUCAGAUACCUUCAAUAGCUACUGGGUGUGCUCCGGGGGAGAGUAUGCAUUUUCUACUCAUUUUUGUUUGUUCUCUUGGUGUGUAUACACGGUUCUUGAUGUGGUUAUGUGCAGAUAAUAGAUACCGAUCUUUGUAUGUAUAAUCAUGUGCAAAGGUGGAUUCUUUCUUGUGUGAUCUGUUAGAAUAUAUGUUCUUUCACCUUCAGUUUCGUAGAUUUAUUUUUUGUUUGAUUAUCUUGUUUUGUCUUUUUCUGUUCUUGAUUCUUCUUGAAAAAUUAUUGAUUUGUGUGAUGGAUAGUUCUGUAAUUGUUUUGAUUUUUUAAUUGGUGAUCUAGGGGUUUGUGUUUUAUUAAGGGUUUUUAAUUCUGAUUGUUGCACAUAGAACUAUAUGGUUUUUAGUUUUUCUCUGGUGUCCGUGAUGAUUGUUUGUAGUUCUUGGAUAGCAGUGGUGGAGGUGGUGACUUAAUUAGGGGGAGUGGUAUAAUUAGAUUAGUUUGAUUGACGAAUUUUGUUGCUUGUUUGUAGUUUUCCUUAUAAUUUUGGAUAUUGUUUGGGGAUAUAGUAAUGUAGACCUUAACUUUAGUUUUUUUUGAAUGGCAAGUUUGACAUUUUUAAAAUUCGUUUUUUUAGAAUUUGACUUUUUCUAUGUGUUAUAAUUUGAAUUUUUGUGUCUUCAUUAGAAAAUUAAUUGAUAAUCUUUAAUGUUGAUUUUGUACCUGAAUUCUAUUAUUCAUGGGGGCCAUAAAAGAUGGCUUUAUUGUGCCUUAAUGAGGUAUUAUUGCACCAUUAAUGGUUGACUGUUUAAUUGGUGUAUACCAAAUUUAUAUUUAUCCUAAUAUUGAUGAUUAGUUAAAAUCGUGAUACAUUUGUUUGACAAAAUUUUGUCUUAUAUUUUAGUAGAUAUAUGUUAGCUAUGUUUUAUAUUUUCAAUUAAUUUUCUUAUUUAUAUUUUAAAAAUUUAUUGAGAUAUCAGUUAGUUAUUUUUUGAUGAGAUUUAUUCUUUAUUUUGUAUUAUUUUCUUAUGUAUCUAACCAAAGAGAUCUCAUUAUCUCUUUGGUGUAGAUGUUUUAAUAUUUUGUUUUACAUAAAUUUUAAUUUUAUUUUUCCUAUUUCUUAAAAAUUAUAUCAUAUUCAUUUUAUUUUCUGAUCAUGAGUUGGUUGACUUUUUCCUUUUCGUUUUAAAUAAUUUGAUUAUUUAUUGUAUGUAUGAACUUAUUAUAUUCUUUUAUUUUAUUGUAUUUUUUCAGGACACGCGAGUGGAAGGAAGAAGUGGGACCUUUUAUGGGUGUUUUCUUAUCGAACAUUAAAGAUUUAUUGUCUAAGCGUCCCCGGUCAUCUUUGCAUGUCCGAGGGUUAGAUGGUAAACUUUCUUGAACGAAAGGAACUCCUGGCAGCAGCUUUGUAUUCUGAUACAUUCGUUUAUACGAGAAAGUAUC
rnacentral:lncRNA from 1 species